AAAAAAAAUAUAUAUAUAUAUGCACACACAAAUAACUGUCUUAUACAUCUGAAACUAACACAACGUUGUAAAUCAAUUCUAUUCAAAUAUAAAAUUAUGUAGAAAAAAUAAAAAUAAAAUUACAUAUGAUAUACACUGCAAUUUUCAAAAAACUGCUCAGCCCCACUGCCUAUUCCCAAACUUAUCCUCUCCUCCUCAGCCCCCUCACCAGCUGUGGAAACUGAAACACCAGCCCUUUCUGCCUGCAGCAGCCCCCAGAGCUCUAAUACUUAGCAAGGAACCACGUGCUCCACAACCUGGCCAACAGAAGAAAUUCUGUAACACCUUUCAAGAGCUUUCACUCACAAGGGAUGGAGCCUUAAGAAGAGUCUCAAACUCCAGGAGACCCUGAGGACCCCAAGAAGGACAGCACAGCAUCCUACAUCCCGCACAGGAUGCCUGACGGUUUGAGGGCCCUGCCCGGCAGGCGCACACUUGCUCCUCAUCAGAGCUCUGAGGGGGGGAUCCCUGCAGAAGGAAGCCUCCAAAAGGCACCCCUGGAGCUGCUCAGACGCAGACGUCCUCUUUGUCAGCCUUGAGAAAGGGGCAAAAAGGCUGUGGCAAGGGAUGCCUCAACACCGGAUUCAGUGAUUCUCUCCGGCUCCUCUGACUCUCCCCUCUGAGGAGCUGGCAGGGCACCUGAGGCAGGGAAGGCAGCCAAGGCUGAGCCCAGCCACCAGGGGGCGGCCAGGAACAGCCACCAGGAAGGGUGGCCCUGAGACAAAGACCCAAGGUGGUCACCCGCUUCACACGCCCCCAAACAGAGACUGCGUCCCCUGGGCUCUGGAUCCUUUGGCUGCACAAAUGGCUGCACAGAAAUGUUCUUCAAGGGACACGAGAACCGAGGCCCCUUAAAGGGUUUCACUCACCCUUUAUUCUUUGCCCCAUUCUUGCUGCUGCCUGGAGAUGGGGGUCUUGGACUGGCAGUCUUGGGCUCCUGGUCAACAUUUUUUUUUGUUGUUUGUUUUUUUGUUUUUAUGGGGCCGCACCCACAGCAUAUGGAGCGGCCAUAGAAAAGGCAAAAAGACAAAAAUAAAGAAAGAAAGAAAAAUAAAAGAGCAAGCCAGCAUAAUAUUUAAAAAAAGAGACAACAAGGGAGAGAUGGGGGAGAAACUUUAAAUUAAAAAAAAAAAGCCAAACCUCAAGAUUUCCCUUGGUGGCUCACUGGUGAACAAACCCAACCAGGAACCAUGAGGACGUAGGUUCCAUCCCUAGCCUCCCUCAGUGGGUUAAGGAUCUGGAGUUGCCAUGAGCUAUGGUGGAGGUCACAGAAGUGGCUUGGAUCCCGCACUGCUGUGGCUGUGGUAUAGAACGGCAGCUGUAGCUCUGAUUCAAACCUUAGCCUUGGAACUUCCAUAUGCUGUGGAUAGCGUCCUAAAACAACACAAAAAAACACAUCUCAGAUUAAAAUAAUUAUCAAACAAAAGAAAAGACUUCCACAAAGGACUCUG
rnacentral:lncRNA from 1 species